rnacentral:tRNA from 1 species
GGGGACUUAGCUCAGUGGUAGAGCACUUGCCUAGCAAGCGCAAGGCCCUGGGUUCAGUCCUCA